GGGUGCUAUAAUGCAGUCGAGCGAACAGAUGAGAAGCUUGCUUCUCUGAUGUUAGCGGCGGACGGGUGAGUAACACGUGGGUAACCUACCUAUAAGACUGGGAUAACUCCGGGAAACCGGGGCUAAUACCGGAUAAUAUUUUGAACCGCAUGGUUCAAUAGUGAAAGACGGUUUCGGCUGUCACUUAUAGAUGGACCCGCGCCGUAUUAGCUAGUUGGUAAGGUAACGGCUUACCAAGGCGACGAUACGUAGCCGACCUGAGAGGGUGAUCGGCCACACUGGAACUGAGACACGGUCCAGACUCCUACGGGAGGCAGCAGUAGGGAAUCUUCCGCAAUGGGCGAAAGCCUGACGGAGCAACGCCGCGUGAGUGAUGAAGGUCUUCGGAUCGUAAAACUCUGUUGUUAGGGAAGAACAAAUUUGUUAGUAACUGAACAAGUCUUGACGGUACCUAACCAGAAAGCCACGGCUAACUACGUGCCAGCAGCCGCGGUAAUACGUAGGUGGCAAGCGUUAUCCGGAAUUAUUGGGCGUAAAGCGCGCGUAGGCGGUUUCUUAAGUCUGAUGUGAAAGCCCACGGCUCAACCGUGGAGGGUCAUUGGAAACUGGGAAACUUGAGUGCAGAAGAGGAGAGUGGAAUUCCAUGUGUAGCGGUGAAAUGCGCAGAGAUAUGGAGGAACACCAGUGGCGAAGGCGGCUCUCUGGUCUGUAACUGACGCUGAUGUGCGAAAGCGUGGGGAUCAAACAGGAUUAGAUACCCUGGUAGUCCACGCCGUAAACGAUGAGUGCUAAGUGUUAGGGGGUUUCCGCCCCUUAGUGCUGCAGCUAACGCAUUAAGCACUCCGCCUGGGGAGUACGACCGCAAGGUUGAAACUCAAAGGAAUUGACGGGGACCCGCACAAGCGGUGGAACAUGUGGUUUAAUUCGAAGCAACGCGAAGAACCUUACCAAAUCUUGAACUCCUUUGACCG
rnacentral:rRNA from 1 species